rnacentral:rRNA from 1 species
UACGGAGGGUGCAAGCGUUAUCCGGAUUUACUGGGUUUAAAGGGUGCGUAGGUGGGUCUGUAAGUCCGUGGUGAAAUCUCCGAGCUUAACUUGGAAACUGCCAUGGAUACUAUAGGUCUUGAAUACUGUGGAGGUCAGCGGAAUAUGUCAUGUAGCGGUGAAAUGCUUAGAUAUGACAUAGAACACCAAUUGCGAAGGCAGCUGGCUACACAAAUAUUGACACUGAGGCACGAAAGCGUGGGGAUCAAACAGG